ensembl:lncRNA
GAGAAGGCGUUCCAGGAGGGAGCCCCGGCAAGGAGCCCCGGGAAAGAGCCCCGGGCCGGGCCUAGUCGCGCCCGGUCCCGCCCGUCGCCCGGCAACGGCCGCGCCGGCGAUCGCCUGCGUUAGUCGGGAAUCGCCUCAUGUCGCCGCAGCGCCACUUCCUCAGCCGGGCCAAAGCCGCGCCGCCAGGAUUUAUUAUCUGUGCCCGUGCCCUGCCAGGAUUUAUUAUCGGUGUCCCUAUCCUGCAAAUAACCCUGUUCCCACAAGGAGCGCAUCCAUACAUCCAUGACACUCGUACCAGGGCCGAAACACCUUGGUCGACCCCACCCUUGCGGUCAGAGCGGUUGUGCGAUCCACCUGGCAAGCAGCUUUCCCCCGGUGAGCGGACACUGUGCCAAGCAGCACACGUUCCUGCAGAGCUGGUGUCCUAGAGGUCAUUGUCCCCAGUAUGGGCCACGAUGAAGGCACCUGAAUUCCACGGUGCUCUGGGAAUACCAAUCUCAUGCAUCAAAGGAAAGCUGUACACUUCAGGACCAGGUUACUAUUUAUGAUUCUUCUUUUAAUGGAGAAAAUACAAGAGUGAAAGAGUUGACUUUCUGAGUACAGAAGUAAUAUGGAAUCUCUCCUCCAGAAGUUAAGGGCAUUUGAGAGUUAUGAAAAAUCCAAAGCCAAGACAAUUACGGAAACAACUGCGCAAGGAAGUGGUGGAAUCAUCAUCUGGAAGUGUUCAAAAGGCCUGUGGAUUGGGCACUUUGGGACAAGUGAAUAUGGUGGUACUGGUUUAAUGUUUGGCCUUGAUGAUCUUAGAGGUCUUUUACAACCUAAACAAUUCUGUGAUUCUCAAUUUGUUGCUGUUUCCUUCAGUAUAAAAUACAAAGAGCAUCGGAUUGAAUUAUUUAACUCUUCAAAGCAAGCUCAUUGUGUUCCUUAUUUAGUUCCUUGGAAACUUCCAAAAAAUAUGUACAACUCCUUACCACAGCUUGUUGUGGAUACUAAAAUUUUACAGGGUUUUGAAAAACAAUAGCACAAAUUACUGGAAAGACAAUGAAAUACAAUGUGAAAGCCUCUGACUUAGGAAGUCUUGAGGCUGGAGAAGUGCCUGCACUUGCCUGCUCUCCUUUUUUACUCUUCUCUCAGCAUCUGUUGCUCAGCACUGUCAGAAAAGUAUGAGGCUAGUUAGACCUUUUGUCUGAGCCAGCAUAGCUGUUCUUCUGUCCCUAUGUGCUCAGAGGCACAGUGUGGUGAGCUUGGCUGGGUUAUGCAACACACUUUUUUGCCUCUUCCAAAAUUAUUUCAGGUCUCCCUGUUGUUCCUGUUGCCACAGUCCUGGCAUACCUGACUGACAAUCUGUUCCUAUGCUGGGCUUAUCCACCCCAGUCUCAGCCUUUGGUAACUGUCUUGGACAGACAGAGCCAAAGUUUGGAUAUGAAAGAAGAGGGAGGCUGUGCCUCCAUAUGGCUGUGAGGAUAGUGUGCUAUGCAGGAGCAGAUUGAGCCGUAGAAGUGCUGUGGGAGGAUUAUAUUCACUGUACACUUCCUGGCCUUUCUUGCCCCAAGUGAAUCAACAUCUGGGCUGAGGGCUGCAAAAUGAGCAACCUCCAUCUGCUGUCACCAGUGUCUCUGUGCCAGAGGACAUUUCAACCUUCAUGAAAUAUGGGAUCACUGGUGAUUUUCCCAAGUUUGUAGUGCAGUAUAACAUGGCACAUUCUUUAACACUAGCUUCCUGCUUCUCUCUUGUGCCAUGCUGAGCAUCAGAUGUCUAGGACAUCUUGCCCUUUUCAUGCACUGCCAUCAUCAGCUACUCCACCUUCUGUCCAGCACAGCUUCACUGGCUACCUUGAGUGUAGGGCCUGUAUGUUUUGUAGGUGAACAGGCUCUGCUGUGCAAUUUGUGCCUCUGGGGCCCUAUUUCUAGUUGAGCUACUGAACAGAAACCUGAAAAAGUAUCACGGAAAUCUGCAACAGAAAUGUGAAUGUUAAAGAAUGGGAAAAACACAGUGAGCUAGAAAAAAAUGGAAUUACGAGAAUUUGAACCUGAACUCCUUUUUGACAUCUCAGAACAUGCUUCAGGAUGUCCCUGAGGACCUGGGCUCGACAGAGUGGUUAGGGUCAAUAGAAAGUGUGCAUACCUCAUCUUUUUUUCCAAAAUGGACCUUUAAAUGGAGGGUAUUUGGCACUAGCAAAGGCAGUUCAGUAAGUAUGCGUCUCUCCUUCCAGCGCAAUGUGUACAAGUUGUAAUCAGCUCACAGUUCUGCCAGAAGAACUUUCUGUUGUAGACAUGACCUCAGUCCUUUACAGCAAGGAACACAGGCUAAUAUUUGUGCAACAGAGCUAUGUGUGCAAAAAUCUCUACUGCAACAGUACAGGCAUGUGAGACUAAAUAGCCAGUUAGAUGUGAACUGAUUGUUCAUACAAUCCAAAGAACAGUGCAUGUACAGAAACCAUACUUAGAAAAGGUAUAAUCAUGCUUUCUAGCACAUAAUAUUGUGACAUUUUUGUAGGAAGCUACAUUUACCUUUUCAUUUCUAUCUUACUUUUCCUCCUGAAGAAAAGGGUAGUUUUUCUCUGCCUUCAGUAAUACUCUGACCAUUUAAUAAAACAGUAUCACAUGUUCA